GGCAUGUGGUGUCCCUUGUUUCACAGGCUACUGGAGUUCGUUCAAUUGCUUUUCAUCCAGAUGGACAAACCCUUUUCUGUGGAUUGGAUGAUGGCUUGAAGGUUUUUUAUUGUCUUUGAGAUAAACUAGACAGCUUAGAUGUUGAUAUCACAAGUUCAUGGUCAUAAAUGCCAGGUAUAUUCAUGGGAACCAAUGAUAUGCCGGGAUAGUGUUUGGGUUUGGGUCUCAGAUAUAUCGAAACUUGAGCCAUUGGAGCUCGAUCUGAGGAUGGGAAUGAAUGCAUAGUGAAAAGAUUGAGUGUCUUGGAUGACCAGUCGUCUUAGAGAAUGGGGAGUACCUCAAUGGGGCAGUUCAUCCCCAGAUUAUGAGACAAAAGAGAUAAAGAACAUAUACGUUGACUCUAUAGGUGGAAAUUUGAAAGGGGCUAUUAGAGCGAGAAGCAGAAUGCAACAACAUGUUUUGGACAAGCAGAGGACAAGUCUUCCAGAACGCAUAGUGUUGGAUCGCUGGAUAGUGAGUGGGGAAGAAUAUGUUUGAACUAAAAGACAUAUAUCUGGAAGAGCAACGAGACUGUAGCUACCUAAUCAACUACUAGGAGAUGCUCCCAAUACUCCACAGAGAAUCUCUGGUCACAUUUUCCAAAUGCACAUGCUACCAUUUUUUUCUUCUU